UGCCUUCCGAGGCAAGGCGUUCUGGAACUCCAUGAGGUUACAACGUGGACUCCUGCUACCUGGGCAUGGAAUGUUACGGAACUGUUGCCAUGGAGAGUCCCGCUCCAAGGGUUCUGGUGACCGGGAGUCUGUUAAGUCAGUUGACGGAUUCUCUGCUGGGCAUCGGACGCAGAGCAUCUGUCUUCUUCAUCCCAGGUGGGAUCAGAAGGCGAUUUCCUGACAUUUGUGAGAAAAACUCUGGACUGAGUGUACAGGUUUGGAAGAACAUCAUUCUCAGAUCCUGAGAAAUCAGAGCUUUGUAGCAGUGUGCUACCUAAAGGAACCCAAGGGAUUGAUUGCUGCAUCUUCCCUGACAUUCCUUUUCCCGUGUUUGUCCACUUGCUUUGCCAGUGGUUUUAGAUCACGAAACACCAUGAGCACAAGGCGGCAGAAGCGCCGUGGGGAACCAGAUGAUUCUGAACAAACUCAGAAACGAAGAAGGCUGGUGACUUCUAGUGCAGGUGGAACUUCAGAAGCAGAGCCAGUAGACCCCAGAGAAAGUGCUGUUGAAGAAGUCGUAGAUCU